AAUGCUUCCCAGCAUUUUGGCUAAGAUCAACUGCAGUAUCUGUCUUAUCAGUUUAAUAUCUGAUAGGUCCUUUAUCUGAGGACAUUAUAUUAAAUGUGUUUUUGGAACAGGGAGAUGAAAUAGAAGCUUGCGCCAUCCACUCUGUACAUUGAUCUGGUAUUGCAGUGCUUUCAGGAAUGAAAAAGAA